CCCUUUGGGUGUGACUGCGUACCUUUUGUAUAAUGGGUCAGCGACUUAUAUUCUGUAGCAAGGUUAACCGAAUAGGGGAGCCGGAGGGAAACCGAGUCUUAACCGGGCGUUAAGUUGCAGGGUAUAGACCCGAAACCCGGUGAUCUAGCCAUGGGCAGGUUGAAGGUUGGGUAACACUAACUGGAGGACCGAACCGACUAAUGUUGAAAAAUUAGCGGAUGACCUGUGGCUGGGGGUGAAAGGCCAAUCAAACCGGGAGAUAGCUGGUUCUCCCCGAAAGCUAUUUAGGUAGCGCCUCGUGAAUUCAUCUCCGGGGGUAGAGCACUGUUUCGGCUAGGGGGCCAUCCCGGCUUACCAACCCGAUGCAAACUGCGAAUACCGGAGAAUGUUAUCACGGGAGACACACGGCGGGUGCUAACGUCCGUCGUGAAGAGGGAAACAACCCAGACCGCCAGCUAAGGUCCCAAAGUCAUGGUUAAGUGGGAAACGAUGUGGGAAGGCCCAGACAGCCAGGAUGUUGGCUUAGAAGCAGCCAUCAUUUAAAGAAAGCGUAAUAGCUCACUGGUCGAGUCGGCCUGCGCGGAAGAUGUAACGGGGCUAAACCAUGCACCGAAGCUGCGGCAGCGACACUGUGUGUUGUUGGGUAGGGGAGCGUUCUGUAAGCCUGUGAAGGUGUGUCGUGAGGCAUGCUGGAGGUAUCAGAAGUGCGAAUGCUGACAUAAGUAACGAUAAAGCGGGUGAAAAGCCCGCUCGCCGGAAGACCAAGGGUUCCUGUCCAACGUUAAUCGGGGCAGGGUGAGUCGACCCCUAAGGCGAGGCCGAAAGGCGUAGUCGAUGGGAAACGGGUUAAUAUUCCCGUACUUGGUGUUACUGCGAAGGGGGGACGGAGAAGGCUAUGUUGGCCGGGCGACGGUUGUCCCGGUU
rnacentral:rRNA from 2 species